AAUUUCAUGUAAUAGCUAUUUUUUUGAGUUAGAAGUCUUGUUUUGAUGAUAAUUUUCUAAAUACUUAGGGUUUUUUAGGUAUAAAAAUACUUAGCAUCUGUGCUUGACAGUAUAUGUUAAACAGGCAUUUAAAGUUUUUUUUUUUUUUUUUUUUUUUUUGUAAUACCAGGGAUCAAACUCACAACCUCUUCUUUUGAAACAUAUUUUCUCCGUCUAUAUGAGAAUCCCUAUUGGUCUGCAAGUUGGUGCAAAACUCCAGUUCUUCAUGGUAACUUCUCAGUGGAGAGAAAAAGAUAAAUUACCUAACGGUGGUUUAAACAUACGGCCUUAUCUUGGGAGCAGUCAUAAGAUUUUACUGAAAAUGUGACAUGAGGCCCUGCCUUCUAUGGGGAAGCUAUGGAAGACUCAAGCAUGUGUAUAACAGUUUAUAAUUUUUCAAGCUCCUUAGCAUCCGAAGCAGAACCUGAGAACUACCGGUAGAGCGACCUCAGGACAUCACACAGUCUCUUCAUGGGAGUGCUGCUAGGGAAAUGAGCAAUAUUCCAAGAGCAGUAUGAUUUGGACCCCUGCUUCACUUGUAGAGCCAUCUGCUACGGUCCUUUCUACUAUGCAUGUGGAAGGAUAAUUUCACAGGGUGCGGUUUCACAAGCAUGAAGAAAACUAUAAAACUAUAAAAGGAUCUGGAAAAGUUAAACUACCUUGUUAUAAAAAAGAAGUAUAUCUUUGAAGAAUUUUGUAAACUUGAAGAUCUCUUGCUAUGAGUAAAUUACGUAAGAUAGCAUUAUUUUGGGGGUUCUAGAACUCCACAAAGGACUUCAGGAGUAAAAAUAAUUUAAAAUGGUUAUUAUGAACUACACCUGGUUUAAAGUGAUUUGAGCUAAUGAUUUUUAACUUUACAGUGGUGCAGAACUGAUACACAUCCAGCAGAGAAAAGUACUUGGAGUUCGGAAUUUCGAUAUUUCAAGCUAACAGUAGAUAAUUGGGAUACUGGUAACCACACUAAUCAGGCCUGCAGUCACAAGUGUGAACAAUCAAUAAAUGAGUGUGAGUAUGUACUGUGUUUCUGAGCUGUAAUGUUUGGUAGGUUCGUGUAUUAAAUAUAUUUUUGACUUAA